rnacentral:rRNA from 1 species
UACGUACGAGGCAAGCGUUAUCCGGAAUUACUGGGCGUAAAGCGCGCGCAGGCGGAUGAGUAAGUGGGGCGUGAAAUCUCCCGGCCUAACUGGGAGGGGUCGCUCCAAACUGUUCGUCUUGAGGACUGCAGAGGUAGGUGGAAUUCCUGGUGUAGUGGUGAAAUGCGUAGAGAUCAGGAGGAACACCGGUGGCGAAGGCGGCCUACUGGGCAGUCUCUGACGCUGCGGCGCGAAAGCUCGGGGAGCGAACGGG